UCCUGAUGAGCUCACUCUGUUCUGAUUGGUCAGCUUCCAGAAGCAGCGUCACAGUUGACUUCCUCCGGUUCCGGAAGCUACGUAAACAAACUAUAGUAGUAGAAUUUCACUUCUUUUUCUCCUCCUUUUACUCCACAUGUCAACUUCUCACAUGUAUCUGCACAUGUCUGAGCCUGAAUCAGAUCUGGAAUAUGCGAGUGGACGUCACGAACAUCCGCAGCAACAAAGAUUACAGCUGGACGUCUCUGCAAGAACCCCAUUCACUCCUCCGAGGGACGGUGACAGAUGAAGUUGCCUCGGUUGCUCUGCUCCUCGGUGUGUCAGCUCUGUGGGGCUCAUCAGUAAUCAGUCUCAGGAUGUUGCAUCACUGUGUGAAGGACUCAGCGUGUUCAUCACUGCCCUCAGCAGGACAGAUGCAGACUGAGAGAUUGUGAUAAAAACACAGAGGGAAAAAAAAGUCAUCUAAUCUGCCCGACUCAGAGGAAGAUCAAAGAGAAUUUUGCUCUGGUUCCUACCGACUGAACUCAACAAUACGCCUCCUGCAGAGAAGAAGAGAAGAAGAAUGGGAGGUUGGAGGUAACUGACCUGCAGGCAGGUGUGACGGAGGAUCCAUUAUAUUCCUGCACACACAGAGAGAGAGAGAGAGAGACUGCCAGCUGAACACCACCACACUCAUUUAUAUUAAAUAGUUUUUGAAAUCUUGCAGAUGCGAAACAGACAACAACCUGAUGAUAACGCUCAGACUCAGCUAAUGCAUAACUAGUAAUAUGAUAAUAUUAGUACAAUUAACAGUGAGCAACACAUAUCUUUUAUGUCCAGAAUAACCCUCACCUCACAUAGUUUGGAAAUAAAUCACAUUAUGGAAGCUAAAGAUGUUAAACUGCCAUUUAAAUUGUACAAAACUGUCUUCAGUUAAAUGUUAGUAAGACAGAAAAACUAUAGCAAAUCACUUAUGGCCCUUUACCUUCAUACCCAUGCCACAAAUCUUGGCGUCAUUUUCGAUCCAGCUUUAAAAUUUGACAAACGAAUUAACUCUGCUGUCAAAGGUUGUUUUUUCCAGCUAAGAGACGUCGCCAAACUGAAACCGUUCCUCUUAUUUCAUGACUUGAAGACUGUCGCAAAUGCUUUGAUUUCCUCUUGACUGGAUUACUGCAAUGCUCUUUAUUUGGGUAUUAGCCAGUCAUCCCAGUCUGACUUGCAGCUGGUGCAGGAUGCUGCUGCUUUGCUACUAACUGGUAGCAGGAAGAGAGACAGCAUCACACCUGUACUGGCGUCCCUGCAUUGGUCAAGUACAGGACUGAGUUUAAGGUUCUUUUAUUUGUUUUUAAAGCUUUACAAGGCCUGGAGCUCCAGUACAUCCAGUAGAGAUCCCUCUCCCCAACACCAGAUCUCUCAGAGAUCGAGGCUGAGGGGUGACCCUGCGUUUGCUGCCCCAAAACUGUGGAACAGUUUACCUUUCAAAACUACGUGUUCCCCUUCUGUAGACACUUUUAAAGCUAAACUUAAGACCCACAUGUUCUCUCGGGCCUUUCAGUGUCCGUAAAGCUUUAUGUUUCACUAUUAUUUGUUUAUUUUCGUUUGGAUAUUGGAUAGUAAUGUUAUGUCAUCUCUACUUUUUUUCUUUUUCUUUUUUUUUUUACUGUUACAUUGUUAUGUUGUUUUUUAAUUUACUUUUGUUCUUUUAUUGUACAACACUUUGGCCGACUCUGGUUGUGCUUUAUAAAUAAACUUGAUUUGAUUAAA